rnacentral:rRNA from 1 species
CCUACGGGAGGCAGCAGUGGGGAAUAUUGGACAAUGGGGGCAACCCUGAUCCAGCCAUGCCGCGUGAGUGAUGAAGGCCUUAGGGUUGUAAAGCUCUUUCACCGGGGAAGAUAAUGACGGUACCCGGAGAAGAAGCCCCGGCUAACUUCGUGCCAGCAGCCGCGGUAAU